AAGUCCCUACGGGAGGCAGCAGUGGGGAAUCUUGCACAAUGGGCGAAAGCCUGAUGCAGCAACGCCGCGUGAACGAAGAAGGCCUUUGGGUCGUAAAGCUCUGUCCUAAGGGGAGAAGGAAGUGACGGUACCUUAGGAGGAAGCCCGGCUAACUACGUGCCAGCAGCCGCGGUAAUACGUAGGGGGCAAGCGUUAUCCGGAAUUAUUGGGCGUAAAGAGUACGUAGGCGGUUCUUUAAGCGCAGGGUUUAAGGCGAUAGCUUAACUAUCGUUCGCCCUGUGUACUGUGG
rnacentral:rRNA from 1 species